CCUACGGGAGGCAGCAGUGAGGAAUAUUGGUCAAUGGCCGGGAGGCUGAACCAGCCAAGUCGCGUGAGGGAAGACGGCCCUACGGGUUGUAAACCUCUUUUGUCAGGGAGCAAGGUGCAGGUCGGGACCUGCUUUGAGAGUACCUGAAGAAAAAGCAUCGGCUAACUCCGUGCCAGCAGCCGCGGUAAUACGGAGGAUGCGAGCGUUAUCCGGAUUUGUUGGGUGUAAGGGGUGCGCAGGCGGAGGCACAAGUCAGCGGUAAAAUCGCGGGGCUCAACCCCGCUCCGCCGUUGAAACUGUGUCCCUGGAGUGCGCGAAGGGUAGGCGGAAUGCGUGGUGUAGCGGUGAAAUGCAUAGAUAUCACGAAGAACUCCGAUCGCGAAGGCAGCCUACCGGCGCGCAACUGACGCUCAUGCACGAAAGCGUGGGUAUCGAACAGGAUUAGAUACCCUAGUAGUC
rnacentral:rRNA from 1 species